UACGUAGGGUGCAAGCGUUAAUCGGAAUUACUGGGCGUAAAGCGUGCGCAGGCGGUGAUGUAAGACAGGUGUGAAAUCCCCGGGCUUAACCUGGGAAUGGCAUUUGGGACUGCAAGGCUCGAGUGCGGCAGAGGAGACUGGAAUUCCUGGUGUAGCAGUGAAAUGCGUAGAUAUCAGGAGGAACACCGAUGGCGAAGGCAGCCCCCUGGGCUAACACUGACGCUCAGGCACGAAAGCGUGGGGAGCAAACAGG
rnacentral:rRNA from 1 species